GUUUAGUUUUAUUGUGUUUUAUUGUUCGCGAAGCUAUGAUAAAACCUGUUCGUUACCGAACAUAUAAAUGACUUUAUCUUAAAAUUCUACAUGUUAAAAUCGUUCUUACAUUUCGCAGUAUAUAUAGCGAUUGGUAUAUUUUAAAACUGUUAGUUACAUAUUUGUGCAAGAUUUGGGAUCGUGACUAAAACACCAACAUACGAGUACAUACGAGUAACAUACGAGUACAUACGAGUAACACACGAGUAACACACAAGUACAUACGAGUACAUACGAGUA